rnacentral:rRNA from 1 species
AUACGAAGGGGGCUAGCGUUGUUCGGAAUCACUGGGCGUAAAGCGCGCGUAGGUGGAUCAAUUAGUUGAGGGUGAAAUCCCGGGGCUCAACCUCGGAACUGCCUUCAAUACUGUUGAUCUUGAGACCGAGAGAGGUGAGUGGAAUUCCUAGUGUAGAGGUGAAAUUCGUAGAUAUUAGGAAGAACACCAGUGGUGACGGCGGCUCACUGGCUCGGUACUGACGCUGAGGUGCGAAAGCGUGGGGAGCAAACAGGAUUAGAAACCCUAGUAGUCC